rnacentral:rRNA from 1 species
AGGGUUCGAUCAUGGCUCAGGAUGAACGCUAGCGGCAGGCCUAACACAUGCAAGUCGAGGGGUAACAUAAAAAAGCUUGCUUUUUUGAUGACGACCGGCGCACGGGUGCGUAACGCGUAUACAAUCUGCCUUAUACUGGGGUAUAGCCUUUAGAAAUGAAGAUUAAUCCCCCAUAGUCUCUUUAAAUGGCAUCAUUUUAAGAGUAAAGGUUACGGUAUAAGAUGAGUAUGCGUUCUAUUAGUUUGUUGGUGAGGUAAUGGCUCACCAAGACUACGAUAGAUAGGGGCCCUGAGAGGGGGAUCCCCCACACUGGUACUGAGACACGGACCAGACUCCUACGGGAGGCAGCAGUGAGGAAUAUUGGACAAUGGAGGAAACUCUGAUCCAGCCAUGCCGCGUGCAGGAAGACUGCCCUAUGGGUUGUAAACUGCUUUUAUACAGGAAGAAACCGCCCUACGUGUAGAGCUCUGACGGUACUGUAAGAAUAAGGAUCGGCUAACUCCGUGCCAGCCGCCGCGGUAAUA